UGCUCUGUAAGCUCAUCAGCAGGGCUCAUCACUCCCUGGCCCUUGGGAAGGUCUGAGACUGGGGCCUUCCAUGGCCCUAACAGGGACCUCUCCGAGUGGGGAGGUGAGCUUCCAGAGAGCAGGGCUCCACAAGUGGGCAGACUUGGCAAGAAAGUCUUCAAUAACUUUUAAGGAGUACAAAGGGUUCCUGAAUCUUGAGAAAUGCUGAAGUAGUUGAGUGACAUAUAGACUCUUCUGAGAUUCUAUAAUCAUGUAUAUAGGGGAUGGGUGACAAAGUCUGAAAGUGUUUUGCCUUUUCAGUUACGUUUUCAUUCCCAUUACCUUUGUUUCCUUAGGAAUAUAAUAUGGUAGAGAAAUAGAAAAGGUUCUGACACUAACAGAAAUUCAUCUAGAUAAGUACAAUUAAAAUAUUAGAAAUUGGCAAUGUUAAAACAAAUUAAAUGCUCAGCA
rfam:Mesocricetus auratus contig179724, whole genome shotgun sequence.